rnacentral:rRNA from 1 species
CCUACGGGAGGCAGCAGUGGGGAAUCUUAGACAAUGGGGGCAACCCUGAUCUAGCCAUGCCGCGUGAGUGAUGAAGGCCUUAGGGUCGUAAAGCUCUUUCGCCUGUGAUGAUAACGACAGUAGCAGGUAAAGAAACCCCGGCUAACUCCGUGCCAGCAGCCGCGGUAAUACGGAGGGGGUUAGCGUUGUUCGGAGUUACUGGGCGUAAAGCGCGCGUAGGCGGAUUAGAAAGUUGGGGGUGAAAUCCCAGGGCUCAACCCCGGAACUGCCUCCAAAACUGCUAGUCUAGAGUUCGAGAGAGGUGAGUGGAAUUCCGAGUGUAGAGGUGAAAUUCGUAGAUAUUCGGAGGAACACCAGUGGCGAAGGCGACUCACUGGCUCGAUACUGACGCUGAGGUGCGAAAGUGUGGGGAGCAAACAGGAUUAGAUACCCUGGUAGUCCACACCGUAAACGAUGAAUGCCAGUCGUCGGGUAGUAUACUAUUCGGUGACACACCUAACGGAUUAAGCAUUCCGCCUGGGGAGUACGGUCGCAAGAUUAAAACUCAAAGGAAUUGACGG